GGGGAAGUAUGGUUGCAAAGCUGAAACUUAAAGGAAUUGACGGAAGGGCACCACCAGGAGUGGAGCCUGCGGCUUAAUUUGACUCAACACGGGGAAACUCACCCGGCCCGGACACCGUAAGGAUUGACAGAUUGAUAGCUUUUUCAUGAUUCGGUGGAUGGUGGUGCAUGGCCGUUCUUAGUUCGUGGAGCGAUUUGUCUGGUUUAUUCCGAUAACGAGCGAGACUCUAGCCUACUAAAUAGUUGGCUCAUUGCUGCUGUGGGCACAACUUCUUAGAGGGAUUUUCGGUGUUCAGCCGCACGAAAUUGAGCAAUAACAGGUCUGUGAUGCCCUUAGAUGUCCGGGGCUGCACGCGCGCUACACUGGCAAAAUCAGCGUGCUUGUCCUUCCCCGAAAGGGGUUGGUAAACCGGUGAAAAUUUGCCGUGAUUGGGAUCGGACAUUGCAAUUAUUGUCCGUGAACGAGGAAUUCCUUGUAGGGGCGAGUCAUCAACUCGCUCUGAAUACGUCCCUGCCCUUUGUACACACCGCCCGUCGCUGCCCGGGACUGAGCCAUUUCGAGAAACUCGGGGACGAUUAUGCGUGUCGGCUUCGGUCGUCGCGUUGAUUGGAACCGAUUUAAUCGCAGUGGCUUGAACCGGGCAAAAGUCGUAACAAGGUAGCUGUAGGUGAACCUGCUGCUG
rfam:Globodera pallida, Lindley, WGS project CBXT01000000 data, contig: pathogens_Gpal_scaffold_49_contig_33